rnacentral:pre_miRNA from 1 species
UGUGUACUCCCUCCGUUCCAAAAUACUUGACUUCCAUUUGUCCAAAAAUGGAUGUACCUAUAUACUAAGACAUGUCUAGAUACAUAUAUAUUUUGACAAAUAUAAGGCAUGUAUUGUGCAACGGAGGGAGUAGAAU